UAUGAAGACCCGUAAAUUAAAGAACUACUUCUUAAAUUUAGAGAUUAAAAAAAUUCUGCAUUCACAGCUUUAGCUUCUUUUUUCUUCCACGACCGUCAGGAGUACCAUCCAUUUUGCGCUUCUGUGCCUGCAAGAAGAGAAUUAAUUCAAACCUGAAGUGGAGAGAAGAUUCUGAUGAACUGUCUUAAUUUACUACAAAUCUGUUCACCACCAAACCCUGGCUGGUGAAACACAGACCAGAAUGGAAACAUCCUCUGUUUGGACAGCACUGCUGUGGGAUGGAAAAGCUAUAGGAAACAAGUGCUGAGGAUUAUGCACAGGAGGCAAAUGUCAUGCCCAGCAUGUUGUCUUCAUGCAUCAGUAGCAGUGGCCAGAUACGGAGUCCUGUUUUUCUCCUCACUGGUACCAGAAAAUAAAGCAAGCAAGAA